AUACCUUUCUCGGCCUUUUGGCUAAGAUCAAGUGUAGUAUCUGUUCUUAUCAGUUUAAUAUCUGAUACGUGGACCAAUGGUUCACAUGAUAUUAAAUUUAUUUUUUUAUGGGGAGAGCCCAUUACAGUAGCUUGCUACUGGGGCUCUCACGCGUCGCCCAUGCGUUGCACUGCUGUUAGGGCCCGGCGCACCCCCC
rnacentral:snRNA from 1 species